AAGGGGGCACUUUUUUCCCUAAGGAGGGUUUUUAACGAGGCCACCCAAUGAAAAGAUUAUCAGCAUAUCAAGUGUGCGAGAGUUUUCAAGUUAAAAUCCUCCUCGCCCCAGGUGCGAGUGCAGGUGAUCGGUUAGGCCUUAUUCGCCCUAGGCGCGAGUAUAGGCGCUAACCUAAGUCCUCCUCACCCCAGGCGUGAGUGCAGGCGACUAGGGUUUGAA
rnacentral:lncRNA from 1 species